rnacentral:rRNA from 1 species
UUUGAACGCGAAGAACCUUACCUGGGUUUGACAUAUGCCGGAAAGCUCCAGAGAUGGAGUCCCUUUUGUCGGUAUACAGGUGGUGCUUGGCUGUCGUCAGCUCGUGUCGUGAGAUGUUGGGUUAAGUCCCGCAACGAGCGCAACCCUCGUCCUAUGUUGCCAGCGGAUAAUGCCGGGGACUCAUAGGAGACUGCCGGGGUCAACUCGGAGGAAGGUGGGGAUGACGUCAAGUCAUCAUGCCCCUUAUGUCCAGGGCUUCACGCAUGCUACAAUGGCCGGUACAAAGGGCUGCGAUAUCGCAAGAUGGAGCGAAUCCCAAAAAGCCGGUCUCAGUUCGGAUUGGGGUCUGCAACUCGACCCCAUGAAGUCGGAGUCGCGUAGUAAUCGCAGAUCAGCAACGCUGCGGUGAAUACGUUCCCGGGUCUUGUACACACGCA